rnacentral:rRNA from 1 species
AACGAACGCUGGCGGCAGGCUUAACACAUGCAAGUCGAACGUCCUAGCAAUAGGGAGUGGCGCACGGUUGAGUAACGCGUGGGAAUGUACCGUUUAGUGGGGGAUAACCAAGGGAAACUUUGGCUAAUACCGCAUACGCCCUUCGGGGGAAAGAUUUAUCGCUAAACGAUCAGCCCGCGUGAGAUUAGGUAGUUGGUGGGGUAACGGCCUACCAAGCUGACGAUCUCUAGCUGGUCUGAGAGGAUGAUCAGCCACACUGGAACUGAGACACGGUCCAGACCCCUACGGGAGGCAGCAGUGGGGAAUAUUGGACAAUGGGGGCAACCCUGAUCCAGCCAUGCCGCGUGAGUGAUGAAGGCCUUAGGGUUGUAAAGCUCUUUUACCGAUGAAGAUAAUGACGGUAGUCGGAGAAAAAGCCCCGGCUAACUUCGUGCCAGCCGCCGCAGUAA